UGCCACGGCCACAUCACCCUGAACCCAAGCAGGGCUGAUCCUGGUAAGUAGCUGGAUGGAUGACCACUUGAUUAACUAGGUUGCUGUUGGAA
rnacentral:rRNA from 1 species